rnacentral:piRNA from 1 species
UUACUGAGUGAAUUGACCUAUUAU